rnacentral:rRNA from 1 species
UACGUAGGGUGCGAGCGUUGUCCGGAAUUACUGGGCGUAAAGAGCUCGUAGGUGGUUUGUCGCGUUGUUCGUGAAAUCUCACGGCUUAACUGUGAGCGUGCGGGCGAUACGGGCAGACUAGAGUACUGCAGGGGAGACUGGAAUUCCUGGUGUAGCGGUGGAAUGCGCAGAUAUCAGGAGGAACACCGGUGGCGAAGGCGGGUCUCUGGGCAGUAACUGACGCUGAGGAGCGAAAGCGUGGGGAGCGAACGGG